AAGCACAGGCAGCUCCCAUCCCCGAGUGGCCCAUGUCUGCACACGCCAUGCACACAGCUGCACACUGGGAAGAACACCCAGGGACAGGCAGGCCCUAACCGGUU